UACGUAGGCAGCGAGCGUUGUUCGGAGUUACUGGGCGUAAAGGGUGUGUAGGCGGUUGUUUAAGUUUGGUGUGAAAUCUCCCGGCUCAACUGGGAGGGUGCGCCGAAUACUGAAUGACUAGAGUACGGGAGAGGAAAGUGGAAUUCCUGGUGUAGCGGUGAAAUGCGUAGAUAUCAGGAGGAACACCGGUGGUGUAGACGGCUUUUCUGGACCGUAACUGACGCUGAAACACGAAAGCGUGGGUAGCAAACAGG
rnacentral:rRNA from 1 species